CAGCCGCCACGGUAAUACGGAGGAUCCAAGCGUUAUCCGGAAUCAUUGGGUUUAAAGGGUCCGUAGGCGGUCUUGUAAGUCAGUGGUGAAAGCCCAUCGCUCAACGGUGGAACGGCCAUUGAUACUGCAGGACUUGAAUUAUUGGGAAGUAACUAGAAUAUGUAGUGUAGCGGUGAAAUGCUUAGAGAUUACAUGGAAUACCAAUUGCGAAGGCAGGUUACUACCAAUUGAUUGACGCUGAUGGACGAAAGCGUGGGUAGCGAACAGGAUUAGAUACCCCUGUAGUCCCUGUCUCUUAUAU
rnacentral:rRNA from 1 species